UUCUUCUUCUCGAUCUGGAAACUGUAAGUCUCGAAAAGCCCUAAUUUUACAGUCUUAACCCUCGAUCUUCGUCUUAUUUGCGGGAUCCCUAAUUUUUGCUUUCAAUCUAAAUAAUUUCCAGCCAUUUUUUCAGUCGAUUUGUUUGUUUGAUAUGUUUCGUUUUUAUUAUUUUUUUAUAUGUAAUGCAUGCAACUGAUUAUAUGAAUUGAUUAUGCUGAUCUGUGAUUUAGCUGCGUUUUAGUAAUUGAGUUUUGAUAUGAUAGAAUGAAAGCGCAAUUGGGCUAUUAGCGUUUUAUCUCCGAUUUGUUGAGACAAUUUUGAGUUUAAAUUGUGUAUUUUUGACUUAAUUCGUUUGGGCAUUUUCCCAGGGUUCUGACAAUUUUUCUUUUUUUAAUUUCUUAUCAACAACAUUUUUUUUUAAUCUUUUGAGUUGGUUGCGAUCGCUGUAAUGUGAAUGUGGGACUCGUUUAUUACACAUUAUAGCGAUGGGAUGGCUGCUGGCUGUUAAAUUUUUGGUUGGAUAACAAGAACAGUAGAAUAUGAUAACACUACUGAAUCAUUUAUUUUGCAUACCUAAAGUUUAGAGUUCACUUGAAGGUUUUUGGAAGGGUUUUAUACUUCUAUUUGCUGUCUGGUUUAUGGGUUCGGUUAGUUUUUGGGAGCAAUUGCUAGGUUGGGCCUAUAUUUUUGUAACGUUGCAUUUGUUAUUGUUCUCUGCAACUGUUCUGUUCAGGGCAACCAUGAGCGACGAAGGAGA
rnacentral:misc_RNA from 1 species